CUGUCGUCUAGGGUGCCAACUUAAACAGGUUGCAGGCACGGUGCCCACUAACCCACCCCUAAACAGAGCCCACGGCAAGACCGUGAACGUUUCGCAAUUAGGGUCUGGCCACGGUGCCUACCUUUCCCUCAAGUGCCACAAUACGAGGUACCAGCUGAAGUAAAAAAGAAGCAGUCUUUCUUCCACAGCUCUUUCUGCAAGUCUUCUAAUUCCUCCAAUCAUCCAAACCACAACCAGGGCACCUUUUUCCUCUUUUCUCUCUCUCUCUCUCUCUCCCUCUCUCUCCCUCUCUCUCUCUCUCUCUCUCGUGUAGAGACGUGUCAGUGGACGUCGCUGUAAUUUGGAUAAAUACAGUACGUGGACCAUGUUUAUCACUUGUGAGAGAUGAAGAUGGCCCUGAUUACAGCUCAACCACAUGAAUGCAGCGUUUCAUGUCUUUGGUCUCUUCAGCACUCGAAUGACUCGGGCCGUGUUUCAGGAGCAGUGGUGGUGGCGGAAAAG
ensembl:lncRNA